AUACGGAGGGUGCGAGCGUUGUUCGGAAUUACUGGGCGUAAAGGGCGCGCAGGCGGCUUGAUAAGUCAGAUGUGAAAGCCCACGGCUCAACCGUGGAAGUGCAUCUGAAACUGUCUGGCUUGAGUACUGGAGAGGAAAGUGGAAUUCCUGGUGUAGAGGUGAAAUUCGUAGAUAUCAGGAGGAACACCGGUGGCGAAGGCGACUUUCUGGACAGAUACUGACGCUGAGGCGCGAAAGCGUGGGGAGCAAACAGGAUUAGAAACCCGAGUAGUCC
rnacentral:rRNA from 1 species